GCCCCACAUUCCAGGCCACGCCCCCCCGCGCUUUCGGCUCCGGUUGGCCCUAGUGGGCAGAGAUGAGUGCUCUGGGUCCUGGGCUAGGUGGCAGGGGCCUCUGUUGAGUCGCUUUACUUUGGUUCGCUUGGGGACCCAGAAAAGAAGAUCAGGAAGUUGACAGCAGAUAGUAUGAAAUCCACUUUUGGAAGCUAAAUGUCUCACAACCCUGGGGAACCAGAGGAUUCUGAUCCAGGGGCAAGCACAUGUGCCAUGACACAUAUAUAAAGGCCAAAGGACACCCUGUGGGAAUCAGUUUCCUUAUUUCAUGAUGUGGGGAAUAGGGGUGGUCUCAGGUGAUCAGAUCUAGCAGCAUCGCCUCCACCUGCUGAGCCAUCUUGUCAGCCCACACAAUUUUUAAACUAUGGGUAUGAUCUGCUGUGAAUGGUAGAACCGAGCAUUUCACUGGGAAGCUGAUAAAACUGAACUUGGAGUUCAUCACACA